rnacentral:rRNA from 1 species
UACGGAGGGGGCUAGCGUUGUUCGGAUUUACUGGGCGUAAAGCGCGCGUAGGCGGCUUGGAAAGUUGGGAGUGAAAGCCCGGGGCUCAACCCCGGAACUGCUCUCAAAACUUCCAAGCUAGAGAUCUGGAGAGGAGGGUGGAAUUCCAAGUGUAGAGGUGAAAUUCGUAGAUAUUUGGAAGAACACCAGUGGCGAAGGCGACUCUCUGGCCAGAUACUGACGCUGAGGUGAGAAAGCGUGGGGAGCAAACAGG